rnacentral:rRNA from 1 species
UGCUGACGAGUGGCGGACGGGUGAGUAACGCGUAGGAAUCUACCUGGUAGUGGGGGAUAGCUCGGGGAAACUCGAAUUAAUACCGCAUACGACCUAAGGGUGAAAGUGGGGGAUCUUCGGACCUCACGCUAUCAGAGGAGCCUGCGUUGGAUUAGCUAGUUGGUGGGGUAAUUGCCUACCAAGGCUACGAUCAGUAGCUGGUCUGAGAGGAUGUACAGCCACACUGGGACUGAGACACGGCCCAGACUCC